CUUGAAGACAAAGCCAUCUCCACCAAUCUGUUUGCUCCUCUCAGAGGCCGCUGUGUUUGUCUGAACUCUUCCCAGAAGAGACACUCCCCCAGGAACGCUGGUGAUGAUCCCUAGCUGGCCACAGGGGGAAGAAGGGAGGAACGAUGCGCCUUACUUGAUGGAAAAAGUAAAAUCAUCAUCACGUGGGAAUGAGAGAGCAGUCCGGGGAAGCCUAGCAGCGCUCUCAACCCGAAGGACCCACAGUGGCCCCAGAUCUUGCUUAAUAAGCUACCUGGGGCCUGGCAGGGAGGCCUGAUACGAUCAGGCUGCUACUUAAAUCACACAAAGCCUUCUAUUCUUAGCUGAGCAGGGGCUGGUUCCUUCCCUGCAGCCGGUCGGUGCUACCAGCCCUAGCAGUGGGGGCCUAGUGGUCAGUCACGGCCACAAGAAGAUGGCGAGCAUCCCUGUGACCAGACUGAAGCCCGAGAUCCCCACAGGAGGCUGUGGAGUGAGCCCCUGGUUUCCGGGGGGGUCUGCAGGGAGGCGGCCUAUGCUGGGUGGAGGACUGGAUCAGAUGACCCCUGAAGGUGACUUCCAAGUCUGAUCUGGUUCCCAAAGUCUUGAUUCCAAAGGGCCAAUUUUCUAAGGUUCCAUGAUUCAAUGCUUCCAAGGUUUGGAAAUAGAACAUUCCAUGGUUCUAAAGGUUGAGACUCCAAGAUGCAGACAAAGACCUGAGGCUGAUCUCCAGUCAGUGCACCUCUCCUUCCCCUUCAGAAGCAGAGGGUGGCCGGCUCCGAGCUGACCCUGGGGCCCCCGGCACACACAGUGCAGGCAGACUCAGCAACGAGGUACAGGGAGAGCCAGGCCUUGCCCUAGGCCACUGCCAACUCUGCAGAGCCGGGACUUGCACCCUGGGCUGCCUGGCUGCACAGUCCCAGCCUGGCCCCAGCUUCCACACACCCCAGGGAUUUGGAGGAUCCUCUGCUGGGGUCACAGGUUGAGAACGUAUCUAAGCUGCACUGACCAAGGAGCUCAACAGAAAUUUCCUCUUUUCUGCUUAUAGAGACCACAGGUCAAGUAUCUAAAAACCCAGUUUCUUUGCUCUGGGCUGGAAUUAGAUCCUCUCUGCAAAUUGGUGGCCAACUAUGUGUCCAGUGCCCUACUGGGUGUUCCUACCCACUGGAGUUUGACUUGACCUCACACCAGCCUUAUGAGGUUGGCCUAGGCUGAGCCUCAGAGUGGCCAUGUCACAAAUCCAAGGUUGCACAGGCAUGGGGUGGAGCUGGGACAGGAGCCCAGGGGUGUCAGGCCUUUUAAAGAUGGUGGAGAAUUGAUGUUUAUGUGCACUGGGCCUGGUCCUCAACAGACUGGUUAAACUUACACUGACCCUCCAUCAUACCCUUCUCUCCGCCUGCUCUCUGCCCUCAGCCCUCUGCCUCCACGCCAACCUGGAAGGCACAUCCAUCUGCACUGCCUCCAGGUACCAGCCAAGCCCAGCUGUCUGCACCCAACCCCAGCCCUGGGAGGUCUAGGACACCAUCUGGGAGCCACGCAGAAACAAGGGCAUUGAGAGGGACCCAUAGAACUCUGUCGGAAAAGAUGCUGGGCAUAGCCCAGCCCUGGACCCCUGCACCCACCCUGGGCAGGGUGGCUUUGACCAAGCACUGUGUGCGUGACAGGCUGCAGGCCCCCAGAGCAGGUGCCCCAGGCCCUGCUGAAAUAAAGUCACAUCCACACCAGAAACUUGAGUUGCCCCAACUAAUACCUCCUGGCACCAACUGGGAAGAGGAGCGGAUGGAAGGGUGACAGCCUCAUUCUGCCCCUCAGGCCCAAUGUCCCCCCAACUCCCAGCUACGAGGGACACAGGCCAGAGUCCCCUGCACAAGGGCAAGCCCUGUUGGACCCUACCUGUGAGCACACAGACAAGAUGGAGAGGGGGAGUUCCUGACACGUGCCCCCCAUACUUCCCCAGAGGCCACAUUUAAUACUCUGCAGGCCUCUGGGGUGCGGCUGGGAAGGGGGUGGUGCCUGGUCCCAGGACCCAGCAGGCUGAUUCUCUUUCUACUCAAAUGCUCACAGACACAGGAGUGCAGACACACAGCCUGAUCUGCAUGUGCAACGUGUACAUAAUUCAUGGGCUCCUAUCGCUUUGGCCUGGAUAAAAUGAACCCAGUGGGAGAAGCCACACAGAAAAUAAUAGAAAACUGAGGCUCAGAGGUAAAGCAACUACCCAUUUUCCUAGAGAAGGAAGAGGCAGAACUUCCUACCCAGCACCAGGCUGCUGCAUGCACAGUCCUCAACCCCAGCCUGGUCCACCGCCUUCUCCCCCAAAUCACAGCCUGGGGCCUUAGAAGAGCCAUAACAAGGGCACCAAGGCACUUCAUCCUGAGCUCAGAUGGCCAGCUGCUGAAAGAAGAAAGAAAGUAGACCCAGCCUGACCACCACACAGCAAAUGGGCUGCCGCCCCCCCACCCCACAGCGUCCACUGGGGCUGCCCAGCGGGCCAGGCGGCGGGAGUGGCAGGAACAGUCUGGUCUUCCCCUGCACACACGCACAAACUCCUGAGAGCCCUUCAGAGCUGAAAGGGAUGUGCUAGCUGACCUGGCUCAGCCAUGAGCUUGAGGAGCUCAAGAUCCUUUCCCUUUGAGGGAAAGGACUUAUCCAAGUUCUCACAGUGGAAACGUCUAGUCAGCCCACCAACCUACCAGUACCAGCCAGGUGCUGGGAACACUGGGAUGAACGUGACAUGGUCUGGCCUCCAAGGAGCUCCCAGUCAGGUGCGCACCCACUCAGUCAGCGUCUGGACCCUCACGAUCUGCCCCACCCAGCUUCCCCAGCUCAUAUUCAAAGACACCCCCUUUCC